GAGUCCUGAAGGAACGUUGAAGACGACGACGUUGAUAGGCCGGGUGUGUAAGCGCAGCGAUGCGUUGAGCUAACCGGUACUAAUGAACCGUGAGGCUUAACCUUACAACGCCGAAGGUGUUU
rnacentral:rRNA from 1 species